rnacentral:lncRNA from 1 species
GACAAUUGACUGAGAAAAAAGUACAUACUUGUGUGGUUUUGGAUUGAUCUUGAUGAUUAUUAUCAUGUCCAAAUUCCCCACUGCAGUGACUGUGUAGGUAGACAAGAAAGCUCAGGAAGAGUGGAAUCAGGAGCUCUGGAUAUUCUGAAAAACCCAGGAGAGGAUGCAGAUCAGUGGGUUCAUCAUGGGAAUGACUACUGUGUAGAAGAUGGAGGCAACCUUGACCACGAGCCAUGAACUUUUGGAGUUAGGAACACAGUAGAAAAAUAGGAUGCUCCCAUGGAAAAUGGUAAUGGUGGUUAGGUGGGAGGCACAUGUGGAGAAGGUUUUGUG